rnacentral:rRNA from 1 species
CUUCCUACGGGGGGCAGCAGUGGGGAAUAUUGCACAAUGGGGGAAACCCUGAUGCAGCGACGCCGCGUGAGCGAAGAAGUAUUUCGGUAUGUAAAGCUCUAUCAGCAGGGAAGAAAAAUGACGGUACCUGAGUAAGAAGCACCGGCUAAAUACGUGCCAGCAGCCGCGGUAAUACGUAUGGUGCAAGCGUUAUCCGGAUUUACUGGGUGUAAAGGGAGCGCAGGCGGUGCGGCAAGUCAGAAGUGAAAACCCGGGGCUCAACCCUGGGAGUGCUUUUGAAACUGUGCGGCUAGAGUGUCGGAGGG